rnacentral:rRNA from 1 species
GACGAACGCUGGCGGCGUGCUUAACACAUGCAAGUCGAACGGAAAGGCCCUGCUUUUGUGGGGUGCUCGAGUGGCGAACGGGUGAGUAACACGUGAGUAACCUGCCCUUGACUUUGGGAUAACUUCAGGAAACUGGGGCUACUACCGGAUAGGAGCUCCUGCUGCAUGGUGGGGGGUGGAAAGUUUCGGCGGUUGGGGAUGGACUCGCGGCUUAUCAGCUUGUUGGUGGGGUAGUGGCUUACCAAGGGUUUGACUGGUAGGCGGCCUGAGAGGGUGACCGGCGACAUGGGGACUGAGAUACGGCCCAGACUCCAACGGGAGGCAGCAGUGGGGAAUAUUGCACAAUGGGCGGAAGCCUGAUGCAGCAACGCCGCGUGCGGGAUGACGGCCUUCGGGGUGUAAACCGCUUUCGCCUGUGACGAAGCGGGAGUGACGGUAAUGGGUAAAGAAGCACCGGCUAACUACGUG